rnacentral:rRNA from 1 species
AGAGUUUGAUCCUGGCUCAGAGCGAACGCUGGCGGCAGGCUUAACACAUGCAAGUCGAACGGGCGUAGCAAUACGUCAGUGGCAGACGGGUGAGUAACACGUGGGAACGUACCUUUUGGUUCGGAACAACUGAGGGAAACUUCAGCUAAUACCGGAUAAGCCCUUACGGGGAAAGAUUUAUCGCCGAAAGAUCGGCCCGCGUCUGAUUAGCUAGUUGGUGAGGUAAUGGCUCACCAAGGCGACGAUCAGUAGCUGGUCUGAGAGGAUGAUCAGCCACAUUGGGACUGAGACACGGCCCAAACUCCUACGGGAGGCAGCAGUGGGGAAUAUUGGACAAUGGGCGAAAGCCUGAUCCAGCCAUGCCGCGUGAGUGAUGAAGGCCCUAGGGUUGUAAAGCUCUUUUGUGCGGGAAGAUAAUGACGGUACCGCAAGAAUAAGCCCCGGCUAACUUCGUGCCAGCAGCCGCGGUAAU